CCCUUAGAUGUUCUGGGCCGCACGCGUGCUACACUGAGUGGAUCAGCGGGUCAGGUUGCGCGAAAGUGUUUCCUAAUCUUUAAAUCCGCUCGUGAUGGGGAUUGACGGUUGCAAUUUUCCGUCAUGAACGAGGAAUACCUUGUAAGCGCAGGUCAUCAUCCCGCGCUGAAUACGUCCCUGCCCUUUGUACACACCGCCCGUCGCUCCUACCGAUUGAGUGGUCCGGUGAGGCUUUGGGAUCUGAGCGGAAAGAGCGUUUCGCUGUUUCUGCCCGGAAAACUCAGUCGAACCUUAUCAUUUAGAGGAAGGAGAAGUCGUAACA
rnacentral:rRNA from 1 species